CAGAGGAGCUUGCUCUUGCUGACGACCGGCGCACGGGUGCGUAACGCGUAUACAAUCUGCCUUACACUAAGGGAUAGCCCAGAGAAAUUUGGAUUAACACCUUAUAGUUUAUUUUUAUGGCAUCAUUUAAAUAAUAAAGUUUACGGUGUAAGAUGAGUAUGCGUCCCAUUAGUUUGUUGGUAAGGUAACGGCUUACCAAGACUACGAUGGGUAGGGGCCCUGAGAGGGGGAUCCCCCACACUGGUACUGAGACACGGACCAGACUCCUACGGGAGGCAGCAGUGAGGAAUAUUGGACAAUGGAGGAGACUCUGAUCCAGCCAUGCCGCGUGCAGGAAGACGGUCCUAUGGAUUGUAAACUGCUUUUAUACAGGAAGAAUAAGGACUACGUGUAGUCUGGUGACGGUACUGUAAGAAUAAGGACCGGCUAACUCCGUGCCAGCAGCCGCGGUAAUACGGAGGGUCCGAGCGUUAUCCGGAAUUAUUGGGUUUAAAGGGUCCGUAGGCGGGCUGUUAAGUCAGGGGUGAAAGUUUGCAGCUCAACUGUAGAAUUGCCUUUGAUACUGAUGGUCUUGAAUUAUUGUGAAGUGGUUAGAAUAUGUAGUGUAGCGGUGAAAUGCAUAGAUAUUACAUAGAAUACCGAUUGCGAAGGCAGAUCACUAACAAUUGAUUGACGCUGAUGGACGAAAGCGUGGGUAGCGAACAGGAUUAGAUACCCUGGUAGUCCACGCCGUAAACGAUGGAUACUAGCUGUUUGGAUUUCGAUCUGAGCGGCCAAGCGAAAGUGAUAAGUAUCCCACCUGGGGAGUACG
rnacentral:rRNA from 1 species